GGAGGGGGCGGGGAGGAGCGGCGGCCCUGCCCCCCUUCUUGCCCGGUCCCCAGAUGAGACCCGGAGAUGUGCGACCCCACCCGGACGGUCAGAGCACCCGGUCCCUGCUGGCUCAGCCCAGACCCCGCGCGGAGGCGCCCGGUCCUCCGGCCACAACGCUGCCUCUGCCCUGGCGCAGGAGCGCUCGGCGAGCGGGGCGCGCGGCCGGCGGUGGUGGGGAGCAGCGGCAGGCGGCAGCCCAGAGCUAGCCUUGCGGGACGGGCUGGGAGCUGGGGGCUGGCACGGGAGCAGUGGGCACCUCAGAGGCCGGAGCCCCUGACCCUCCAGGCCGGAGACGCGGCCGUGGGGCAUGAAACGCUUCUUUCGAACGUGGAAACGGCCGGAGUCAGAGCUGCUCCAGGUGAGAUGAACUGGACAAACGAGUUUUCUGACAGAGUGGCAUCUCAGUGGGUACCGGACACCCACCUGCCUGGCGCUCUGGGAUGGAUUUCUACACAGAUGCCACCUCUGUGG